rnacentral:rRNA from 1 species
AUUGAACGCUGGCGGAAUGCUUUACACAUGCAAGUCGAACGGCAGCACGGACUUCGGUCUGGUGGCGAGUGGCGAACGGGUGAGUAAUGUAUCGGAACGUGCCCAGUCGUGGGGGAUAACGUAGUGAAAAUUACGCUAAUACCGCAUACGAUCUAUGGAUGAAAGCGGGGGAUCGCAAGACCUCGCGCGAUUGGAGCGGCGGAGAUCAGAUUAGGUAGUUGGUGGGGUAAAGGCCCACCAAGCCAACGAUCUGUAGCUGGUCUGAGAGGACGACCAGCCACACUGGAACUGAGACACGGUCCAGACUCCUACGGGAGGCAGCAGUGGGGAAUUUUGGACAAUGGGCGAAAGCCUGAUCCAGCCAUUCCGCGCGCAGGAUGAAGGCCCUCGGGUUGUAAACUGCUUUUGUACAGAACGAAAAGGUUUCUACUAAUACUAGGAGCUCAUGACGGUACUGUAAGAAUAAGCACCGGCUAACUACGUGCCAGCCGCCGCCGUAA